GCGAGGUGAGGUUAGGUCGCGUACACGAGCAACCUGUUCCCUCGAAUGCCAUCUCGAACUGUAGUUCGUUCGAGAUGAGUGGUUUUCGCGUGCUGCCAUUUUGCGAUCAGUAAACAUCUACUCGGCGUAUCGUGUUGAUAAUUUUAGAUGAAUAAUGAGCCUUUCUGCGUAAUAUUGGCUCCUGUCUAUUUUACGCACAACAACAAACGACUGAUAACGGAUCUGCGUGAAACCAAUUAAAGAUUCAAUAUUUGGAUACAAGAAAGAUCGUAAACUGGCAGAAUGAUGGAGAUCGAUCUGCCUCAUUUUUCUAAUAAGGAUGAAGAAAUUCAAUAUUGGAUGGAGUUGGCGCAUCAGCUACAUCAACGGAAAGAGGACACAGAACAUGAGUUGGAAGAAUUCCAAGAAAAUUCCCAAAUGUUAGAAAAAGAACUAGAAACUUCACUUGAACAGUCUGAAAAGGCAAAUAGAGAACUGCGACAGAGAAAUACACGGCUUGCUACGGAAGUCGAACAACUCAGAGCUCGGUUAGAUCAGCAAUCAAUUGAUUGUGCUGCAUUUCAGGCAAAGGCCCACGAUCUUCAAUCUAGACAAGAUCAAUUGGUGAAAUAUAUACGAGAACUAGAACAGAAGAAUGAUGAUUUGGAAAGGGCGCAAAGAGUUAAUAUGGUGACGGAAGAGGAAAUGGAGGCAAAGUGUAAUUUGGCCAUUGAACGAAAUGCAUUACUCGAAUCUGAGUUGGAUGAGAAGGAAGGCUUGAAGGUAAUGGUACAGCGGCUUAUGGAUGAAAUCAGAGACUUGAAGCAGGAAAUACAAGUACAAGAACGUCAUCAACCGGAUAAUGAUAAAUCUGUGGACAGAGUACGGAGUAUUGUGGAUAGUAAUAAGCUUCAGGUGGAACUGGAGACACUCACACCAUCCAGCAGUCCUUCUACACCCCAAACGAUACCUCCGACAACACAUACAACAGCUCCUCCAUUAAAGAUUGGAAAUGGAGUAAUUGGAGGUAUGAUUGGUAACAACAAUAAUAACAUGAAUCCACCACUGGCACCCUGUACAAGGAUACUCGCAAUGAACAUGAUUGGGGACCUGAUGCGAAAAGUUGGGCUUGACAGGUGGGUCUGCAUGGACUGUAGAAGGAUAAAGUGCUCAUGCCCUGGUGGAAAAAAGACCAAUUCUACUCCACCCGCUGGUAAACCAUCAAUUCAAGUUCAGACACCUACUCAAUGUAUCCAGCAGCAGCCCAGGCCCGCCAAAUGCUGAUGUCUGAUACUCCCCACUUUACUACCACAUACUUCCAUAUGCUGCAGGCCCUGGAGAGUAAGCUAAAUACAUGCCGCAAUUCAACUCGAGAGGAUCAGGCAGUGCGGGAUCACUACAGCAAAUUAAUGGUCUAUCAUUAUAUUUGACGAGAAGCAUUGGAAUGAACGCAUGAUGUGGAACUUAUGGUUGAAUUUUUAACUUCAUCAGGAGGAAAGGACCGUUACCCGUUUGUAAAUACCAUUUAUUUAUAGAUAUGUUGCGAUUUGUAAUAUACAUUGUCUUAGUCUCUCAAUUAUAGCAAGAAUGUAGAUAUUUAUCAAAGAAAAAGUUUAAUAAACAAUUUAUUAUCAUUAUCUGACAGUUUACAUAAUCUUUCAAUGAAUAAAUCAUAUAUUGUAUGCGGUAGACCGAUAUGAUAUGAUGAUUGGUUUAUUUCUUACUAACAUCAAAAUUUAAUGCUCAUUUAAAGAAAGACAUUAUUUGUUAUACUCCUUGUUAGAAUUUAUCAUAUUGUUCCGAAUACAAGUCUACUUCCGAUUUGAAGACUUCAUUUCAGAAAAUGUUUGUUUACGAAUAUACCUGCAAGAGCAGCCCUACGUGUAAGUCAGAGCGAAUAUUUCGCGUCACGUCCAGCUUAUAAAACCUUGACCUUAUGUCAGGAGCAGUAUUGGUACUUGUACAAGUAACCUGACAGUAUUUAAUAUCUACAGUGGUUGAUGAAAUAUCUACUCAAUGCUGUUAUGUUUGUAUGUAAAGAUACACUUGUGAUUUUUUGUUUAUAAAUCUUCAUUAGUUUUUCAUUUGAACCGCCAAAUUGUACAAUAUACGUGUGUCAGGUGCCUUUUUAUUAAAUGAUCAUUAUAAUUAUAUUUCUCAGUGUCGUGUAAAAAAAAUUAACACCUUUACCAAUAGUUGACUACAAUAAAUAGCAUAGUAAUGUUACUAACAAUAAACGAUAUAGAAAUUACGUGACAAUUCGUGAAAAUUCGAAUCGGACCCUUGAGUUUAUUUUUGAAGAUCUCUGACUCAAGUCUCCCCUAACAUAUUAAUUAAUAUGCAUCAAUAUUGGAGGCUUGAUUGUUCGGUAGCAUGAUUAAAUUAUAUAUUUAAUGAUUCAUUGAGAAACUGUAUAUAUAAUUGUGUUAUUCGAUUAUGAACGGGACAGUUCCAUUAAUAUAUAUUUACUUCGGUUGACAUUAAAAACAUGCACUGUUUGAAAAGGUCUAACUUAUUAUACAUAUAUUCUUUUAUUGAACAUCGACCGUUCAUACGCGCUCUCACCAAAUUUUAGAAGAAGUAACAGUUAUUACUAUGUAAUAGUUGUAAGAUUAUGUGCAAUGAUUUGAUUCUUAUCUGAAAUAAUUUGUUGCUAAUAUAUCAAUUCGUCUGGCUCCAGUAUCUCCACGUAAACAAGUUUGAAUAAAGUUAACUAGAAUAAUGUAAUGCCUUUUCAAACACCAUUGUAUAAAUGUAUUGGCAACUUAAUUAAUAAUUCCGCAUUAUAUGGAUAGAAUUCUCUUGAUUGUUAAAUAAAAUUAUAGAAUAGUGUACAUUGUAUGCUCUGUUCAAGAUACUGUCACUAGAACAUCAAGUAUUAAUUACUUCGUUACAACUGACGCAUCAUAGAAUCAAAACGUUUCACUGGUAAAACAAAUUACGUUAGUUUCAUUCUUUCUAAUCUAAAUAAGGUUCUGUUAUUAAGUAGUUAUUAUAAAAUCCACAAAAUUAAUGCAAUACAUAGCCAGAAUAUGUGUGAAUAUCUUGAACAGAGUCGCAAACCAAGUUUUAAUGAUAUUAUUCUGUGAAAUAAAAGUGGUGAUUGACAACUAAAACAGUUUAUUAUAUAGUUACCAUUAUAUUACACUGCUAAUAUUGAAUAAAAUAUGGGGGGUAUGAUGUAUAUAAUACAAUAGCUGAAUUUAGAGAAUUUAUUUACGAAAUAUGUAUUCUGCACAGAAAAUUGAACACACGAGUAAAUUAAAAUCAAUUACGUAACUUAUUCGUAAACAUAACCAAAUCUGAGACCAUUAUAAUUGAUCUAGUACUAAACAAACAGACACUUAAAUUCUAAAGUACACUUAUACUCUUGUUGUAUAAUGUUGUGUAAUGACGAUAGGGUUUAAUGACACUGCCCAACCACUUCAAUUACUUCCCUUUUGGUUGAGAAUAUAUUGGAUUUAGUG
rnacentral:misc_RNA from 1 species